rnacentral:rRNA from 1 species
UACAGAGGUCCCGAGCGUUGUUCGGAUUUAUUGGGCGUAAAGGGUGCGUAGGCGGCGGAGUAAGUUGGGUGUGAAAUCCCGGGGCUUAACCUCGGAAUUGCAUUCAAUACUGCUUCGCUCGAGUACUGGAGAGGAGGCUGGAAUUUACGGUGUAGCGGUGAAAUGCGUAGAUAUCCUGAGGAACACCGGUGGCGAAAGCGGCGCGCUGGAUCCCUUCUGACGCUGAGGCGCGAAAGCCAGGGGAGCAAAGCGGG